GUAAGUUCUACGGGGUAGCAAAAAAAAGCGCGGGGUGAGCGCAGCCGGCACGUCGUCAGCGUGCCGGCCACGGCGUGGCUGCAUGCACGGCGGGGCCAUCAUCGUCGGAUAACAAAUGCAUGCGGACCGACUUGCGACAAGCAGCGUUCCGUCGUCCGACCGGGGAAUGCAGUAUCGGGCGGCGGCGGACGUUUUUUCAUC
rnacentral:ncRNA from 1 species